rnacentral:rRNA from 1 species
AGUAACGCGUGAGGAACCUGCCUUUCUAGAGGGGGACAACAGUUGGAAACGACUGCUAAUACCGCAUAAGCCCACGGCUCGGCAUCGAGCAGAGGGAAAAGGAGCAAUCCGCUUUGAGAUGGCCUCGCGUCCGAUUAGCUAGUUGGUGAGGUAAUGGCCCACCAAGGCGACGAUCGGUAGCCGGACUGAGAGGUUGAACGGCCACAUUGGGACUGAGACACGGCCCAG